rnacentral:rRNA from 1 species
GGAGGGAGCCGUCUAAGGUGAGGCUCGUGAUUGGGACUAAGUCGUAACAAGGUAGCCGUACCGGAAGGUGCGGCUGGAUCACCUCCUUU